rnacentral:tRNA from 1 species
UCGAGGAGAGCUCAGUUGGUUAGAGCGUCUGGUCAGAGCCCAGAAGGUCGAGGGUUCAACUCCCUCCACUCGCCCCA